GGGCACUUUAGGGGGACUGCCGGUGACAAGCCGGAGGAGGGUGGGGAUGACGUCAAGUCCUCAUGGCCUUUAUGACCAGGGCUACACACGUGUUACAAUGGGAGUUACAGAGGGAAGCUAAACCGUGAGGUCAUGCCAAUCCCAGAAAAACUUUCUCAGUUCGGAUCGCAGUCUGCAACUCGACUGCGUGAAGCUGGAAUCGCUAGUAAUCGCGGAUCAGCACGCCGCGGUGAAUACGUUCCCGGGCCUUGUACACACCGCCCGUCACACCAUGGGAGCCGACAAGGGCAGAAGUCGCCGAGCUAACCUUCGGGAAGCAGGCGCCCAAGCUGUUGUUGACGACUGGGGUGAAGUCGUAACAAGGUAGCCGUAGGAGAACCUGCGGCUGGAUCACCUCCUUUCUAAGGACGCCGGAGAACCUCGAAAACUUUCCGGAUAAGUCAAAGUCGAAACAGGCUCUCUUCUCUCCCUUUUCUCCUGUAAUGUUUUAUUAGGGAUUGGGAAUUAGGAGUUAGGAAUUAGGAAUCAUCGCAAUAGUAUUGAUAUUCGUAAUUAAUAAUUCGUGAUUCGUAGUUCCCAAACGGGGCCUGUAGCUCAGCUUGGUUAGAGCGCAUCCCUGAUAAGGAUGAGGCCGGUGGUUCAAGUCCAUCCAGGCCCACCAUCCCAAUUACGACAGCAAUAUAUAAAUCGGUCGCGAGAAAAUUUGUGUCGUAACUCCUGUUGUAAUUAAAAAGGGGGAUUAGCUCAGCUGGUAGAGCGCCUGCUUUGCAAGCAGGAGGUCAGCGGUUCGACCCCGCUAUCCUCCACCAAGCUCAAGGUGUCCACCGAAAGAAGAUAAGAUUCAGCAAUUAUUUUUUCAAUUUCUGACUUUUAUUUUUUUCUUAGACAAUAGAAUCGGAGGUUUUGGUGACUCAAGAUCAAAUGUGAGGGUCUCCAAGGGUUGACGAUCUUGACUGUUAAAGUCAGGUAGUAAGGGCGCAGGGCGGAUGCCUUGGCUCUGGGAGGCGAUGAAGGACGUGGCUAGCUGCGAUAAGCCUCGGG
rnacentral:sRNA from 1 species